ACUCCUUUUCUUGGUGGGGGCUGGGUGUGUGGUUGCUCUCUCCUUAGAGAAAGAGACAGAGGGAAAGAAAAAGCCCUGGCUCCCUUAAUGUCACAUCUUCAGGGCCAGGGCUUCCCUUCCUCUGACUCUAUCCUCAAACACUGGGACAGUG